rnacentral:rRNA from 1 species
GAUGAACGCUAGCGGCAGGCUUAAUACAUGCAAGUCGAGGGGCAGCAAGGGUAGCAAUACCUGUUGGCGACCGGCAAACGGGUGCGGAACACGUACAGAACCUUCCUUUAAGUGGGGGAUAGCCCAUAGAAAUGUGGAUUAAUACCCCUUAAUAUUAUGUGAUGGCAUCAUUAUAUAAUUAAAGAUUUAUUGCUUAGAGAUGGCUGUGCGGCUGAUUAGGUAGUGGUGCGGGUAAUGGCCCACCAAGCCAACGAUCAGUAACUGGUGUGAGAGCACGACCAGUCACACGGGCACUGAGACACGGGCCCGACUCCUACGGGAGGCAGCAGUAAGGAAUAUUGGUCAAUGGACGCAAGUCUGAACCAGCCAUGCCGCGUGGAGGAUUAAGG